rnacentral:tRNA from 3 species
UCUAAUAUGGCAGAUGAAGUGCAAUGAAUUUAAGAUUCAUGUAUAAAAUAAUUUUUGUUAGAA